rnacentral:rRNA from 1 species
GACGAACGCUGGCGGCGUGCUUAACACAUGCAAGUCGAACGGUGACGCGCUUUCCUCUUUGGCUGGCGUGGGUGAGUGGCGAACGGGUGAGUAACACGUGCGUAACCUGCUUCCUCCUUCUGGAUAACCGCAUGAAAGUGUGGCUAAUACGGGAUAUUCCGGGUCUGUCGCAUCAUGGGUCCGGGAAAGAUAUUGCUUCGGAGGGGGCUGGGCUCGCGGCCUAUCAGCUUGUUGGUGGGGUGCUGGCCUACCGAGGCGGUGACGAGUAGCCGGGCUGGGAGGAUGGACGGUCACACUGGGGCUGAGACGCGGAGCAGACUCCUGCGGGAGGCAGCGGUGAAGAAUGUUGCACGAUGGGCGCAAGGCUGAUGCCGCGACGCGGCGUGAGAGAUGGAGGUCUUCGUGUUGUGACCCUCUUUCGCGAGUGAAGCACGCCUGCCUCGUUUGUGGGUGGGUUGACGGUAGCUAAAUAAGAAGCGCCGGCUAACUACGUG